CGAACGUUGGCGGCGUGGAUUAGGCAUGCAAGUCGAGCGAGAACGCCACCUUCGGGUGGUUAGUACAGCGGCGAACGGGUGAGUAUCGCGUGGGGAACCUGCCCUCAGGUGGGGGAUAACAUUCCUAACGGAGUGCUAAUACCGCAUUACACGGCUGGGUCGCAUGGCCCGGCCGUCAAAGGUGGCCUCUGUUUCAAGCUGUCGCCUGAGGAUGGCCCCGCGUCCGAUUAGCUUGUUGGUGGGGUAACGGCUCACCAAGGCGACGAUCGGUAGCUGGUCUGAGAGGAUGGUCAGCCACACUGGGACUGAGAUACGGCCCAGACUCCUACGGGAGGCAGCAGUCGAGAGGCUUCGGCAAUGGGGGAAACCCUGACCGAGCGACGCCGCGUGGGGGACGAAGGCUUUCGGGUCGUAAACCCCUUUCAGUAGGGACGAAAACUUGUCGGGCUAAUACCCCGACGACUUGACGGUACCUGCAGAAGAAGCGCCGGCUAACUCC
rnacentral:rRNA from 1 species